CUUGAGCACUUGAACAAAAGAGAAUCAAACAUGUCCAAAAAAUUUGUUACUCAAAAGUCAUAACAAUUUAUCCCACUGUUACUCUUGCUACUUUUGAUCUCAAUCAGCACAUGCUAGAAUCAUGGAUGCUACACCAUUAGAUCGCCAAAUACAAAAUAGAUCCAACCUUCUCAUUUUCUUGUAGUUAUCUUCUCUGCAUUUUGAAUCUGGAGACCGGUUUUGAAGAUUGAGAACCAGAAUCCUGUGAAGGUCAAACUCGUGAUUAGUAUAUAUACAAGUCAGUGAUGAAACUGCAAAGCAUCAUGUAUAAAAACCAUGUUUAUCAAAUAUUUUUAUGGGAAAUACUACCACAUAUAAAUCAGUAAAUUAAAUCUACCUGUGAUGAAGUUGAACUUUGUUCUCUUGCAGUUGUUUUGUAUAUUUUCAGCAUCCUCUAUAAUAGAGCCUGUAAAAGCCUGCAGAAAAUAUUUAUUGGACAAAAUUAUUUGUUGCUGCUUGUUACAGGGCAUCAAGACUAAUGAGCAUAAAAUAUCCGAAGUGUGAACACACCUUGCGAGUGUCAAAUAAUAUGGUUGUGAAGCUUGGUGUUGAACCUGAAAAGGAAAUAAUUGUACAUGUCAAGGACCAAUUCUUCUGAAAUCAAACAUGCUGUAAGGUGAAAGCACCCGAAUAGAUUUCAGUGAAGUUAUUUGAAACAUUUUAAAUCACUGUUCAAGAGUAAUGAUCAAAGCACAAAUUCCUCCUGUUUUGCUUCCGUACAACCUUACUCUAAAAGAUAUGCUUACUAAAUUUCUAAUAUCAAAAUUUUGUCUUCAUUAAUUCCUAACUCUAGCUUUCCCAUCUAAAAGCUUUUAACUUGACGCCCAAGUAUCCUCCAAUUAGAUUACAGUCUUGCCUCUUGUCCUUCAAAACUGUGUUAUGCUAUGGUUACAAACAAGUUAAUACAAAUGGUGAUACUGAUGAUAUAUAACCUUGUGGAACAGGCUCAUAAGGAAGCAGGGAAUUUAGGGAUACCAAGAACCACUCUAGUAAGUAUUAUUUUAAGAGAAAAAUAAUAAUGCUGCAUGUGAUUUCCAACUAGAGAACAGACAUUAGUUAGUUAUCUCAAAGCAAAGCAAGGCAAGGCAGUAUUUCCAUUUGGUUCUAAAGCAGCAUAAACCACUAUGCAACAAGUAGAGAAUUAAGAGGGAACCUUGAUCAGUUUUUGAUCCCGUAGUUGCUUGAACUGGCUUUUCCUUAGAAUGAACAGGAUUCUU
rnacentral:lncRNA from 1 species